rnacentral:misc_RNA from 1 species
CGCAGCCGCGGUAAUUCCAGCUCCAAUAGCGUAUAUUAAAGUUGCUGCAGUUAAAAAGCUCGUAGUUGAAUUUCGGGACCAUCAUGUCGGUCGUGCCUCGGUACGUACUGGCAUUGUUGGUUUCUCCCUUCUGACGAACCAUGAUGUCAUUUAUUUGGUGUCGUGGGAAAUCAGGACUGUUACUUUGAAAAAAUUAGAGUGUUUAAAGCAGGCUCACGCUUGAAUACAUUAGCAUGGAAUAAUGAAAUAGGACGUUUGAUUCUAUUUUGUUGGUUUCUAGGAUCGACGUAAUGAUUAAUAGGGAUAGUUGGGGGCAUUAGUAUUCAAUUGUCAGAGGUGAAAUUCUUGGAUUUAUUGAAGACUAACUACUGCGAAAGCAUUUGCCAAGGAUGUCUUCAUUAAUCAAGAACGAAAGUUAGGGGAUCGAAGACGAUCAGAUACCGUCGUAGUCUUAACCAUAAACUAUGCCGACUAGGGAUCGGAUGAUGUUAAUUUUUUAAUGACUCAUUCGGCGCCUUAC